rnacentral:rRNA from 1 species
UACGGGGGGAGCAAGCGUUGUUCGGAUUUACUGGGCGUAAAGGGCGCGUCGGCGGUCAGCACAAGUCAGUUGUGAAAUCUCCGGGCUUAACUCGGAAAGGUCAACUGAUACUGUGCGACUAGAGUGCGGAAGGGGCAACUGGAAUUCUCGGUGUAGCGGUGAAAUGCGUAGAUAUCUGGAGGAACACCGGUGGCGAAGGCGGCAUCCUGGACCGGUAUUGACGCUGAGGCGCGAAAGCUAGGGGAGCAAACGGG